AAGAGUCAGACACAGCUUAGCAACUGAACAACAGCACGCCAGCUGUGCCAACCCUGCAUGUGCAUGUGUGUGCACUGCGCGCAUUGCACACGUGUAUGCAUGUGUGAUGAUGAGGGCAGACAGAUGGGCUAGACCUUGAGCGGGGUGCCAGGCCAUCAAGGGUGGCGGUAGAUCGGGUGGGAAGGGGCGGAGGGCCAAGCUUCGUGCCUUCCCCCUUGGCCGUCAGAAGGCAGGCCGGGCUGCCAGGCCUUGCUUUGCCAUCCAUGGCUCAAGGAGAAAGUAUUGGGGUUGGUGAUAGAAAAAUUAGGGUGGUUUCCAAGCACAAAAUUUCACUAGAAGAGGCCAGAUCAGGCGUGUGGGAGGGGAGUUUUGAGGUGGGGGGGUCUCCUGGGGAUUCCCUAGAGACCACAAGACAGGUAUUGGAGGGCUACGUGCCCCUGGCACAGCUUUAUCUCCUGCGACCCCGAGACCUGAGAUGGCAGUGAGCAGGGAAGACCUGGGUCCAGACCCUGGGCCUCCGUCAGGGGAGCCCUGGCUCCGUGCUCAGUCUCUUGUAAGUCACGGCGAAGGGUGGGUGACCUUCUUUCUGACAGCUCUCCCCUCGAGGGGCUGGGUCGCUUCCAGGCCACCUGGGCAGUCCCACUGCCACCUGCACAUGGCACUGUCCCGGGAGGCAGUCUAGCCCUGGGCCUGGCCUGCCCGGGUCGCACCUGGACUUGGCUCCGUGUUAGCCAGGACGGUGUUGCAGUCACAACCCCCCCAAAUCCCGACGACCUAGAUCCGUCCCAGUGUCAGGGCGUCCUCGCUGCUGCUCGUCCACGCAGUUCUUCAGCUGGGGCCCAGACCCAGGCCCAGGGGACAGCCCCACAGCUCUGGCAGAAGAAAGGGGAUUCUGGACACCCUCACACCAGCCGUGGAUCGCUCUGCCCAGGAGGGAAGCCGUCAGCUCUGCUCACAGCUAGCUCACUGGCCUGACUGUCACCUGCCCUGCUCAGCGAGGGGGCCUGGAAGUGCCCAGAAGACAGAGAGCCUGAACUGGGCAGUGACGGCCCCAGUGACCAGCACACCGCUCAUCAGCUGUGUGACCACGAGCCAGGUGCCGUCUGGGCCUGCGUUUCCCCCUCUAGGAAAUGGAGAGAAGACGGUCUCCUGCCUCCAGAGCUGCCAUGAGGACCAGCAUGGAGCCCCGGCAACUCGGAAGGCAUCUCUGAGCCAGAGCCCCGGUGGCCUGGCUCAGCCACACGGGGAAGGCCUUUCCGAGCCAAGCGUGGAGCCCAGGUCCUCACACAGCGGCCUCUGUCCGCCCGGCUGAGCACGCUCAAGGCCCGGCCCCUGCACUGCUGCCACGGGACCAGUGGCUUCGCUUCUCUGGACCCAGGAACGGGGCGGGCAGAAGAAGCUAGUUGGUUGAGACCAUGGGAUCUGUCAUCCAGGCCUGGAGCAGGGCUGGGCAGGGAGGCUCCCCUGUACCCUAGCUUCCUCUGGGUGGGCUUCUCACGGGAGACACCCACCGCACUCUGAACUGAAGGGCGGCCUGAAAUUGGCAAGGCAUCUCAAGUGGCUGGGCGGAGCCACUUAGGCUCUGCUGCCUCAGGACACACAGUGCAGUCACGUGGCCUUUUCCAGUUGGGUUUGGCCACACCUGGUUUGCCCCCUCCCACCCCCACACCCCACAGAAGCAUCAGGACCGGAGUCCCGGGGUGGCUUAAGGGCUCUGGAUGGGUGGCAUGAACAGCUACAACUCUCAGCAUAGAAAGAACGGCGAGACCCCAUCACCUUGGUUGCAUUUUCAAUGAAAGUAACUUAAUUAAAACAACAGCAUAAGUAUUGUU